AUCUAGCCGACGAGUCCCAAAUAGGACAAAACGCGCGUUAUGGAU
rfam:Schistosoma curassoni strain Dakar, Senegal genome assembly, scaffold: SCTD_scaffold0006587